rnacentral:rRNA from 1 species
UGCGUAGGCGGCUUUGUAGGUCAGAUGUGAAAUCCCACGGCUCAACCGUGGAAUUGCGUUUGAAACCACAAGGCUUGAGGGGGUCAGAGGAGAGCGGAACUGAUGGUGGAGCGGUGAAAUGCGUUGAUAUCAUCAGGAACACCGGUGGCGAAAGCGGCUCUCUGGGACCUUUCUGACGCUGAGGCGCGAAAGCUAGGGGAGCGAACG